UGGGAGCCAGCCCUGUGGGCCUGAGCCCUUAUCCUUUGAGGUCUGCACUAACUCUGAUUAGUACCAGAAUCCAAUGGAAUUGUAUGAUGUGCAGCUGGCAUUGGAGAAUUUUCAAUAUGGGACAAAAAUUCCACACAUCUAGUGUGUCAGAAGGAAGUGUUCUGGAAGUAUGAAAUUUUGUCUUAAUAAAAAUGUUUUCUCUAUUUCUAUGUUUCUGUAGCCCUCACUUUCUGAAGCUACCUGCUCUCCAGUAUCCCUUCUGGCUCAUAGCUGGAAGGAGCUUGCCUUGAGUCUCAAAUGAGACUUUGGACUUCAAACGUUUGAGUUGCUGCUGAAACAGGUAACACUUUGCAGCU